GGCGUCGCCACGUCGAUAUAAAUUAGGGUUCGGGGUUUCAGGGUGUCGGAGUUUACCUUGAAGCCCAAGGACCCUCAUGCUUUUUACUUUUAUUGUAGUGGGAGGAGGCUUCUAUCGAAGUUCUAGAGAGUAUCGCUGGUGUACACGAAAGAAGUUGAGCAGGACUCAAGGUAGCCUGGUCGCGGAGUGCCGCUGAGGGUGAUUUUGGUCCCUCAAUUGCACGAUAGACAUGUAAUUUUCUGGGUUGUUUUGGAUUCGACAAGUGGAAAAAGCUUUCUGGGUUUGAUUGUUCGAGUGAUCUGGGCAUGGAAGAACAUUUCAUCCUCCGUGUGCCGCAAUCGGUCGCAGAGCGCCUAGAACGAGUUUUAAAUGAAGAUCCCGAGGCUGCCAAUGACAUAAACCUCGACCUUGCCUUUCAAGAUGGGAGGUCGGCCAUAUUCACGAUAGGAGAGGACCACUUUCCGACGUCUUUGCUGGAUUUGCCUUGCGUCAUAGAGUCUUACAAGACUUACGAUGACAAUGUGCUUAUUAAGACAGCGGACAUUGGGCAGAUAAUUUUGGUGCAAGAAGAAGGUCUACCAGUACCAGAAGGCCCAGAAUACAAACAUGGAUUAACUCCAGCCAUGCGUGAUGCCCGAAGGCGACGUUUUCGUCGUGAACCAGAUCUCAAUCCAGACUUGGUUCAACAAGUGGAGAAUGAUCUGCAAAGCAUCAUGGCCGGUGGAACUGCACGAGAUGUGGAUGUUGAGGUUGUUGAACAAGAGGCAGAUGAAGACGACGACGUUGAGGAGCCUGCUCCUCGCACCACUCCUGCCUCCAAAAAGUCGAAAGCUGCGGAGGCAGCUGCUGCUCCACAGUCUCCUGGCGAUGGCGAUGGGGACGACGAUGACAUGGACGAAGAUUAUGACGAUGAGGAUUAAAGCAUAGUCUAGCUUUCUAAUUUUCUCUUGACACUCAUCUUGAGCUGUCCACAAACACAUCACCCACAUGUGUCCUCCUCAUUCCUAGACUGUCGGAGUUUAUGAGAAUGUAGCUUAGAGUUCAUGGAUUGAAGUUCGUUUUAAAGGCCGCUGCCACCCCCAAACCAUGAAACAGCGUACUCUUGCAAAAGUUGCUUGUUGUGCGAAGAAUGUGUUUCUUUUUUGAAAACAUAGGUUUAUUGACAUACAGUUGUAUAGAUUUUAAUGCUUACAUGAAUUCUGAUAGGCAUGCAAAGGCAGGACAACCAAGAUAAUGAUUGUUCAUACAAGUUGUCAUUGCUCUUCCAUAUCCUUUUGUAUGCUGUAUUUCUUGUCUUUCACAUUCUUUAGUACUUGGGUUGAAUCUGCACGAAUACUUCUAGAAUUAAGAAACUCCUUCUCUCAUUCAAUUAGUCCCUGCGGUUCUAAUCUGCUCGCCAUCAGGAGCAUGGGCAGUUGAGCUUUUUGUCUUGCAGUUUGCUUGGCUGUAAUACCUCGAUAUAUAAGUAUUAUGGACCUUCGACCUCAUCCAUCCUUAUCCAUCCUUGAGGUGGCUUUCCUUGCAAUGCUCGUGGAAAAGGAACAAGUUCUGAGAGGUUCCCAAAAGCAAUUCCAAUAUGUAGUGCCCAUCGCACGCUGUGGCUUCUCGAUAGUUUAGGGCUACACCUGAUGCUCCAGCUGUUGCAAUUGCAUGAUUCUAGCUCGCAGCUGUUGCUAUGGCCUCCCGUCUACUGACUCCCCUACCCCCUGCCCUCUCGCAGAGUUUCGGAAUUUGCCCUUUGUUGAAGUACUACAGGCCUGCACGUAAUGUCUACGCAGUUGGGAGGCAUGAACUACGAACCUCAAAUCCAAUAAUCGGAGGUAGUGGACCGCUGAGGAGGAGGAUUAGCUUGGUGGAGUUACGCGGAAUUAGUUGUGCAAGGCAGACCGAGAGCAGUAGGACAGUGGUUGUGUGUAGGGCUAAGGAAGGAGAGGGCACUGGAAUGGUGACGGAAGAGACGGACGGUCCUUUGAAGAGCGUGAAGCAGGUGGCGUUGUGGGCCAUGGCGGGUGUUUACACGUCCUAUCUCUUUUUGCUGCCGUAUGCUCCCGGAGAUCCAGUCUGGGCAAUUUCGCCGGCCACCAUUACAGGAGUUCUCGAUCUAUCAUUCAACUUCUUUUACGUCCUGCCACUGCUUAACCUAUAGCAGUAGGCUUUCAUCUUCUGGAGGCUGCAGCUGUCCAUCCUACUGAUGAAGCAUUAUUCAAUUUCGUUCUUGGCUGGGCGCUCCUUUUCGCGCCCCUCAUCUUCACGGAUCGGAAGCGGGACCGCUUCCCUGGAUCCCUUGAUGUCUUCUGGCUCGCGUCCAUGUUCCUGACCAACACUUUUCUUAUUCCCUACAUGGCGAUUCGAUUGCGAAAAAUUCCUGAACCACAAAAACCAAUGGAGAGUACCGGACUGCAACGAGCUUUCACUGGAGAGAAGGGCUCACGUUGGGUAGCUGCCACUGGAGCCGCAGUUGGGCUUUUAUCCAUUGUCUGGUUUGCUAUUGGAAGGUCCGGAGAGGGCUAUGGUGAUUUAGCUGAUCGAUGGAGUUAUUGGGUCGACACACUUUCGAAAGAUCGCCCAACAUAUGCCUUCAUCUGGGAUUUGUGCUGCUACACGGUAUUCCAACCUUGGCUCGUCGGAGACAACCUUGAGAACGUUCGCGCAGAUAAGAAGGACCUAGUUAAGAAGCUGAGGUUUGUGCCAUAUGUUGGUCUGAUCGUUUACUGCUGGAGUCUUGAAACAAGCAAAGCUGUCAAGCCAGAGUAGGUGGGGGUGUAGACAAUAAUUUCUACGUUUUACCCAUAAUCACUGUAGGGGGUCUUAUGAACGGAGAAAGCUUUCACAAUUGGAUUUUUCCGUUAACAUGUUCAUUAUUCAUUUCCAAGUUAAUUUGAUCAGUAAUAAAUGGACAUAUUAGUCAA